rnacentral:rRNA from 1 species
UACAGAGGGUGCGAGCGUUGUCCGGAAUCACUGGGCGUAAAGGGCGCGUAGGCGGCCGGCUAAGUCGAACGUGAAAUCCCCGGGCUCAACCCGGGAACUGCGUCCGAUACUGGUCGGCUUGAAUUCGGGAGAGGGAUGCGGAAUUCCAGGUGUAGCGGUGAAAUGCGUAGAUAUCUGGAGGAACACCGGUGGCGAAGGCGGCAUCCUGGACCGACAUUGACGCUGAGGCGCGAAAGCCAGGGGAGCAAACAGG